CCUACGGGGGGCAGCAGUGGGGAAUAUUGGACAAUGGGGGCAACCCUGAUCCAGCCAUGCCGCGUGUGUGAAGAAGGCCCUCGGGUUGUAAAGCACUUUCAGUGAGGAAGAACGCCUGGUGGUUAAUACCCAUCAGGAAAGACAUCACUCACAGAAGAAGCACCGGCUAACUCCGUGCCAGCAGCCGCGGUAAUACGGAGGGUGCGAGCGUUAAUCGGAAUUACUGGGCGUAAAGCGCGCGUAGGUGGCUUGAUAAGCCGGUUGUGAAAGCCCCGGGCUCAACCUGGGAACGGCAUCCGGAACUGUCAAGCUAGAGUGCAGGAGAGGAAGGUAGAAUUCCCGGUGUAGCGGUGAAAUGCGCAGAGAUCGGGAGGAAUACCAGUGGCGAAGGCGGCCUUCUGGACUGACACUGACACUGAGGUGCGAAAGCGUGGGUAGCAAACAGGAUUAGAUACCCUUGUAGUC
rnacentral:rRNA from 1 species